GUGUAACAGCCAAUAUAUCCAGAAAGCUUGUUCCUCUCAUCUGAUGUGAUUCCUAGGAAAUGCUGACCUCAAAGUUUUAACUAACAAUUGUUUUCCCUUUUAUUAAAAGCUUAAAACUAAGAAUGGUAUACCCGUUUGACAAUUAAGGUUUGAUUGUGGGACGAUAUCUGAUUACAAUAUGCGCAAAUAGAUCUUUGAUUUGUUUAUUAAAAGUUAAAGAAAAGACUCUCAGGAAACCGGAAACAAGCCCUCCCUCAGGGGAACAAAGGACUGCCCUCUGGGAACCACGCCCCAACAGAUGAAUGCUGUUUUACUCUCUCUUUGUUCUGCCCUCCUCUUGGCCUCAUCAACUGUGCUUUGGCACGCACCCAGCGUGCUUCCCGUCUCCUGGCAACGGCCUAAGAAGUCCGACCCGGUCGAACGAAGUCCCUUUGUUCGUUUUCAAGCAACACCCGCGAAGCUCCACAACCUCGAUUUUUCCCUCGUUUGCUUUUUAUUUUAUUUUGUUUGUUAAAAUUUAUCAGAGCGUUAAGUUACACAAUUUUAAUUCAAGAACGACCAAGUUCUUUUUUUGAAGCUUUAUUCGUCGAGCUAACUUACAUCUGAAAGAACAGCCUAAUUGCCAGACCGAGGACGGUCAACACUUGAGGGAUUUUCUUCAUUCAAGACACGGAAAACACCUGGAAAAUUCCCUAGCAGAAAGCCAGGAAUCGGGCAGCUACCAUGGGGACCUGUGCAACCGACCAAGGCAGGCCGCCGACCCACAAAUAAAAAGGAGAACCAGAGUGAGAGCAAGUCCUGUGUGUGGCCGUGCCAUCCUUCCACGCCAUAGACACAAAAGGGACACACUCAGUCUACAGACGGACGCAGAGGGUUACACUGGUGCCGUGAUUCCGUGAUUCCAGAUCCGUUCUACACAGAUCGCCUGACCAGGAAUGCGCUGUGGACUGAAGUGGUUAGAAGACGUUCUUGGUGGAAGAUCAUCUGUCCCGGAGUUGAUUUAUGGGCAGAUCUGAUGGUUGCAGUUGCAUAACACACAGUUACUGAUUGUGUGCUGUUGAUUUUUAUACCAGGAGAACCAGAGUGAGAGCAAGUCCUGUGUGGCCGUGCCAUCCUUCCACGCCAUAGACACAAAAGGGACACACUCAGUCUACAGACUGACGCAGAGGGUUACACAAGACGUUUCCGAGUGGUGUGCUUGUGAAAACUGCUCGACAAUGCCCACCGAAGUUGAAAACGUCUGUUGCCAAGAAAUACGAAAAGUUGUUAGACGAAUGCAACAGGUUCCUGACCCUCCAACCUGCAUGGUUCACCAUCCAGGCCUGGAGCCAAAGUGUUUGAACUACUACACCUUGCAGAACAUCCACAACAUAUAUCAAGCAGACUACGGACCUUUGAGGCGUCGAACAGAAGAAGAGCGCUACAAGCACCUUGCCUAUCGUAGCUUUGUCAGCUGGUGCUGGGGCUACUUGGGAAGGAGCGUGAGAGUGGUCAUCCCGUCGUGCGUUGUACUCCGAAUACGCCAGCAGUUUCCUGAUCCGGAGGGGCAGUAUGUAGGUUUCCGGCCGCCCCUUAACUAAAGCGGGACACAUGGCGGGCAACCACUUCCUCCUUUGACGGUCUCUCAAACUCUGAUGUCAGGUCUUUGGGGAUGGGGAAAGUCUUUAGCACCUCAACAAAUGGCGCCGGGUCUUCAAAAACCUCCUUGAAGACCAGCUUAAUCAGUUCUUCCACAUAUUCUGUGAAAUAAUGCAGACAAUCACUGAAGUGUUUACAGACUGUUCUCAGAAUCCACUGCCUUUUUACAUAUUUAUAAGGUGGCCAUAAGUUGUUUUUUUUUGUUAUGUUUACAUAACUUGUACCUAUUGUAAUUGUCACUAUUUAUUAUUCAAUACGUUUUGUAACAAUAAAAGUAUUUUACAACUUA